rfam:Trichobilharzia regenti genome assembly, scaffold: TRE_scaffold0036318
GCACUGCUGAAGAGUCCCAAACUAGGACGAAACAGCUGUCCAGUAC